AGCAGCCAGCUCAGCCCUACAUAGACAUUGACUUUACUGUUCAGAACGAUGAGUUGACGUCACCCAGCGAAGUCAUCAGUUUCUCUUGCGGCCACAAAUAUGACGGGAGUGCGGCUUUGCAAAAGGCCGCAGUGGGUGCCGCUAGGCAGAUAGACGACAGAUCCUUGCCUUCCACAGCGCAAGCUCUGCGUAGUCUGUACCAGCGACCGCUUGUUCUGCGGCAUUUUGCUUGUCCUGUCUGCGUAGUGGGCUGCGUAACACAGGAGCUGGGUUGAGUGCCUUUAUAUAUGUGUAUUGUCUGUCUGUAAGUGAUCUAUCAAAUGUGGAAGAGCAGUGUGUUAGCUAUCAGCUUUUUCUUUCACGCAGAAAAUAGUUAAACAUUACCGUGUAGUAUGUUUCGUAAGCCAGGAAUCAAACUAAAGGAGCUGCCUUAUAUUUUAUUUUUUUUAAGCUUAGGCUUAAUCUAAUGUAUAUUUUACUGUGAAAAAAAAAACUAUAAAAGUUAUUGUUUAGUGACAAAAAGAGAGAGGGGCCAUGGGGACUUGUGCCCACACCAAAUUUGUUAGCUUUUUAUGUAGGCUAAAUAUGAUCAAAACUAAAAUUAUUAGAUAAUUUGGUUUUCCUCUGCCGUUAGUAGUUCAUAAUAGUUAAAUAUUUAGAUACCGUAACUAGUUUGGAAAUAGAAAACUUACUACCAAACUAGUUAAUGCUAGUUAUGAAAACCCAGAUACCUCAAAUCAAAUAAUUAUUUUUUUAUAAAUACUUAAUGUAUAAGCAUAUCCAAUUCCAACACUUAAUCUGAACCACCCCCCUCAAGCUAAUAAUGUGUGUAAACUAGAUUUUAAGAAUAAUUUCAUUUUUCAAUUUCACCUAUUCAUUUUUGGACAAAGUGUAAAAUGUGUAUAACAGAGCUUUAAAAAAAAAGCUUGACCAAAUUGAAUUCUGGCUUACAAAAAAGCUACUUGUACAUUUGCAAUGAGGCGUUUACAUUAAUCUACUAGCUUCACUUUGGAUACUGAAGUAGACUUACCCGUGAUAGCAUCACAAUUGUAUAACCUUUGUCAUGGUUAAAAAUAAUGGGUGUUGCAAUAAUACAAUUUCAAAUUACCCCUAAGAUUACCAAUAUUCUUCAUGGAAACUCCCAAAAUAAUAGUGGCACAAUUUUUCAAAGUUUAAAACGCACUGGAGGAAGGUAAAUUUUGGCAUUUCUGUAGUACAUAAGUGUAACAACAGAAUGAAAAUGAAUGGAGCUAUUAAUAUUUACAAAUUUAUAAGUUUGUAUACUGUACUCAAGCAACUAUUAUCUAGUCUAAAAAUGAACAAUCUGUGUAUUUCCACUCAAAUUGUAGUAUUAUUCUAGUUUAUUGUUUUAAAAGACUCGAAUGAAUUUUAAAUACCUAGUUAGACUCUGUAGGUUAAAAACACAAAUACAGUAGUUCUUAUUAUUGUUCAUCAUUAUUAGAAAAUGUGAAUACAUAGCUUUAGAGAAUCAUUGGUAUUAAUGGUUGUACAGAGUGCUUCUUUAAAAAAAGAAAUUCGAAUAACAAUUCUUUUGGUUCAUAAACACUUUUACCGAAAUAAUAACCCCCCCCCUCCCCUCCCCGAAUAAUAAUUGUGGGUCUGACAGGCCCACAGGAGUUUUCACAAACGUGUGCUGGUAACACUGUUUACUUGGGGCAUUCCAUUCUCCCAAUACCUUCCCCCCUUUUCCUCCCCUACCUAUUUAUAUAUUGUUUGUUCAUUUUUUGUGGAUACCGUGACCUUGACAGGUUGUCUGUUCAUAACAUGCCCGUCUCAGAAGCCCAGCGUUAGUGUAUUUUAAAGAGGGUAUAUACGAAUUGGUCUAAUUAUCAGGAUAGUACUGCAGAUAGUCAUAGUACUCACCCACGUGGACGUUUAACCGGACUACACUCGGCGGAAAUUACAUCUCUUUAACCAGACAAUUUUUAUCAGCCCAUCGGUUUAACCGCACUAGAUCGGCACCAAAAUGGCUGUUCUCGUGGGAAAGAUUUGAGACCAGUAACCACGUGUCUAAAUACAAUGCUCUCCUAAAAGUCAAAUACUGUACAGUAUGCAUUAAAACGGCCUGUUUUAACGAGUUUUUGGGGACGUCGGUUUACCCGGAAAACCCGUUGUCCGGACUGGCCUCGGUCCCAAGGAGUCCGGAUAAGACUUUACUUUAUUAUAAACCCUAACUCCUGCAGCUCGUAAAACGUUCUCUGUACAACCAACCAAUACCGAACUGUGGCACAAUGGUUGUUCAUAAUGGUGCUAAGAAUUCUUAGCUAAGUUACGUAGCUUUAUCGUUUUUAUUUUACUUAAAUUUUUUGCAACAAGUGUAAGAUCUUGUUUUGCAAAUUCCACAACUUGCAAGAUAAAACUAAAAAAACUAUCUUUAGUGAUAAAAGCAAAGUUGGAUUAAAAUCUCAUUACGCUAUAUUAAAAUCGCAUAACUCAGGUGUAUGGUUCAAAAACUAACAAACUCAAAUAUUAGUUAUUAAGCUAGUCCUACUUAAACACAUGUGAUUGUUAUUAUAUGGCCUUUAUUUUUAGAAUUUGUACAGUAAUAAUUGCUUCAACUAAACUAUGUUUUUAGAGCAAUUUAUGACAAUGCGAUGAUUGAUAUUAGUUGCAUUUAUCUGUUUACUUAAUAAUAUUGUUAUCUUUUAGAGAGCGAAAACGAGAACGCUACUUUUAUAUUGAUGUUAAUAAUAUGUAAAUUCUAAUUGUGUUAUAUGAUUUAUUGUGAUUUUAUUAAAGUGAUCUCGUUUUUAUUAUAAAUAUCAAUGUGAUAGUUUGUAGAUUACUGUUGUAUAUUUUUUAAAUACUGCACAAUAUGAUAAACCCAGAACAGAAAAAUAAAUUUAUAAAUUAUUUAUGUCAAAUUUUGUUAAAAAUUAAGACACAAUUUAUUCUUUAAAUAUCCACCUUACAAGGCCUAAAAUGAUUUUCUGACAUAUUUAAUUGCCUAAGCUCAAAAGAUUGUACCAAGGAUUGAAUUUUAGAUUUACAGAGAAUGUAUCUACAAAUUUUUUAAGAAUUGGAAAGAAUAGAUGUGUUAACCAUAAGUUUUUAAUUCAGUUCAGUGGAUUGUAUAAAAAAAAUAAAAAGGCAGAUCUAAACUCGUGUUUGCAGAACAUCUAUUCUUUUUAAUUAUAAUAAUGUGUGAUAGAUUUAUGAUCCAAACCUUAUAAAGUAUUUAAAAUACUAAGUUGUAUCAGUUACGAAUUAAUAUCCUUGGUGUCAUCCAAGCAUAUGAUUUUCAAAUUUGAGCUUUUUCCCAAUUUGUUAUUUCUAUUUAAAACUGUACAAUUUAAGAACACAUUUGACCUAGGGUUAUCAAAUUUAAGUUAUAAAUGAAUUAUACAAAUAAAAUUUCUACACACACUAUCUUACAUUUGGCUAUAGUUCAAUGUCAUAAGGGUGCUCAGGAUAAUUUUAAUUGUGUGAAUUCUGUCAAGGUUUUUAAACUUACUAAAUAUAUUAUUUGAUGCAUUUUUCAAUAGUAACACUUUAAAUGCUUUAAUUUGUAUUUAAUUUACAAAUAACUUGUACUGGACAUGUUGAAUGUAUGCCAAUAAAUUUUUGCAGCACAUGGAAACGUAAUUACAAAAACUUGCUUGAAAAACUUGUAAUAGCCUACAUUGUAAAUCUAGGUGAUAUCCAUAUUGUUACCAGUAUUGUACAAAUUGUU